rnacentral:lncRNA from 1 species
GCCACUGUAGGUAUGACUUGCUAUAAAACGAAAGGCAUAUGCCGGACUACGUACACUGCUUGUGUGCAACAGUACUCUCUCACAAAUGGUUUGAUCCAUAGCAAUGUUCAGUGGAGCUGCAACCCAGAAAUAAUUUGAACAGAUAGUUCUCUGCACAAAUGGUGAGCCGGCCGAUUCAAUCGUUGGCAGUUUGUGAAAGCGUCGCUCCAGGAAUUGGAAGCCGUAGAUUGCAACAUGGUUGUGCUGGGCCGGCCUUCUUCUAUCCUCUUAUUUCUGUUCUUGUGUGUGUGAUUCAAGUCUGCAAUUGUGGCAGAAAGCAAACAUGAAACACGAUGCCGAGUGCAAACACAGCCAUCGUAUCAUCAUCUUGGCGUGCGUUGUGAUGCGAAUCCGAUGUUUGUUGCGAUGCCGGAGUAGCCGAUCCGCUGCCCAAGGGAGCGGGGAGGACGGCUUCCUUCUGGCUGUCUUAUGAUGAGCGAACAACUUCUACUUGCAAAAGCGAGCUUGUCGGACAAGAGUAGUUUCAUGGAGAUGGCGAACGACUGUGGGAUCAGCAAUGGGGCUCCCAUGUAUGCGCUGAUGCUGGGCAGGCAUUAGACACUCUCGAGGAACAUGGCUUGUCAAGGGAUGCCGCUUUGGCUCUUUCCUCCUUGUAAUGAGAAUUUUCAUGUGGGAAAGGGAACAGUGUCUGCCUCGUUCGCAGAUAGGACGACGAUUCCACGGUAAAAGUUGUGGACGUCGUAGCAAUGUGGAUUCCUCGAGUGCUGGCGGAUUUAAGUUGGAUUUACG